UACGUAGGGUGCAAGCGUUGUCCGGAAUUAUUGGGCGUAAAGAGCUCGUAGGCGGUCUGUUGCGUCGGCUGUGAAAACCCGGGGCUCAACCCCGGGCCUGCAGCCGAUACGAGCAGACUAGAGUUCGGCAGGGGAGACUGGAAUUCCUGGUGUAGCGGUGAAAUGCGCAGAUAUCGGGAAGAACACCCGUGGCGAAGGCGGUUCUCUGGGACGGUACUGACGCUGAGACGCGAAAGCGUGGGGAGCGAACAGG
rnacentral:rRNA from 1 species